GCAAGUCGAACGGUAAGGCCCCUUCGGGGGUACACGAGUGGCGAACGGGUGAGUAACACGUGAGCAACCUGCCCUUGACUUCGGAAUACCAGCUGGAAACAGCUGCUAAUACCGGAUAUGACACCUUCCCUCCUGGGUUGGUGUGGAAAGCUCCGGCGGUCAGGGAUGGGCUCGCGGCCUAUCAGCUUGUUGGUGAGGUAAUGGCUCACCAAGGCUUCGACGGGUAGCCGGCCUGAGAGGGCGACC
rnacentral:rRNA from 1 species